UACGUAGGGGGCGAGCGUUGUCCGAAGUUACUGGGCGUAAAGCGCGCGUAGGCGGGUUCUUAAGUGAGGGGUGAAAGGUUCGGGCUCAACCCGAACACUGCCUUUCAUACUGGGGACCUUGAGUAUGGGAGAGGCGAGUGGAAUGGUCGGUGUAGCGGUGAAAUGCGUAGAGAUGCGGAGGAACACCGAUGGCGAAGGCAGCCCCCUGGGCUAACACUGACGCUCAGGCACGAAAGCGUGGGGAGCAAACAGG
rnacentral:rRNA from 1 species